rfam:Spizellomyces punctatus DAOM BR117 chromosome Tnknown supercont1.8, whole genome shotgun sequence.
GUCGGUGUGGCCGAGUGGUUAAGGCGUUGGACUUGAAAUCCAAUGGGCUCUGCCCGCACAGGUUCAAACCCUGUCGCCGACG